GUUUCACACACAGUUGUGUCCUGAUGUAACCUCAGCCCUGCCCAGGGCAGCUGCAUCAGAGCUCAGCUCCCUUUCCAUCUUCCCUAAGYCUGUUCCUCAGUGCUGCCGCCCAGCCUGCUGGCCCCUCCAGUAACCAUACCAGCCUAUCCACUAUGGCAGUGGGGCAGGGUCCCCUCUUUUGAGAAAGUGGUAGAAGCUGGCCUGCCAGACAAGCAAAGGCUGAAGCGACCUGCAGACAGCAAAGGCAGAGCUACAGGACUGCAGCGAAGACUGAAAAGCAGCUGCCUGAAGAGGAUCCAGGUAAUCAUUUGUCUCUCAGUAAAUGUAAAUCCUAGUUCCCAGCCUCUGCUGCUACUCACAGUGUUUGAAACCCCCUCACUUGUUGGUACCAGGUGUGAAACCAAGGCAGGUGAGUAGCAGUUAAGUCCUUGUUCUCCUCUUUCCACCUUCAGUAGCUUCCCACCUAGAACAGACAAAGAAGUUUGGAAAGACAAUGCAGAAUUCCUGAUAAGAGAUGUAACUUKUUUUUUAAGGAGAAUAUGAGAAUUACUGUUCAGCCCUGGUGAAUUUUAUUCCCAUGUUCUUGGGUGGCCCAUAYUGUAGCUGUGUAGCCUUGCAAUGGCUUCUGGCUUCAGCAAGCCUUCAACUGACUAUGUUGAAGCAAGUGAAUCUAGAGAGGCUUGUGUGUUGGUUACUUUCAUAUUUUUAAAAAGGGUAUCAAUUAAUGGAAAAUCUAGUAAAAACUUAUGGCUUCAUUUUGAUCUUUGUUUUUAGUGCUAAAUAGAGAAAUAAGCUUGAAAGCUGGCUUGCAUGUAAAGACUUACACUAAAAGAAGAUGAUGAUUUUGGCUUUGCUUCAAUUUGCUGUUGAAACAAGUCAUGAAAAAAAGAACUUUGUGGUUUGAAAACCAGUGGUUCUCUAAAAAUAGGAGAGAUUGUUCAUCUCUUUGUAUCCUGUUUCUUUGUGAGAUUAUUUGAAUAGCACAUAGCAGUAGAAUGUAUGUUAGUAAUUAUUUGGUAAAGAAACAGUUCAGAUAAAGUGUAUUUCUUAGCAAUUACUUGACUUUUUAAAUCUAGCAUACAGCCAAGAAGUUGCUAAAUUCCAGUUUCAAUUCAAAUGCUAGCUUCAUGAAAGUCAACAGAAAGACAGACAAGAAGUAGCUGAGUUGAGACAGAUGUCCUCUUUGUGUUUUUUGUUUAUAUAGUACACACUUGCUCACUAAACAGAGCAUCUAAUGUGCUAUAGCAAUAUGCAUAGUUAAUUAAAAUUUAUUAUUGAAAAUUUUAAGAUGGCUCUUUGACUUCAUUGCAUUUUCUUUUCCAAAG
rnacentral:lncRNA from 1 species